rnacentral:snRNA from 1 species
ACUUAUCUCACAGUAUAACCCC